GAAAGGCAGAAAAUGAGGAACAAAUCCAGAAAGGGAAUCAGCGAGAGAUUAAAAGAACCAGAAUGGCAGCUUCAUCAUGAUAGGGCUGCAACAGGGAACGGGGGAGAGCCCUAAUUGGGAUCAGAUCAGAGAGCGGGUAGAGAGAGCCUGUUGUUUCCUCCGCUUACCUGGACAGAGAUGGAAGUAGGAGCAAGCGGAGGAUGGUGAGGCAAAUCUGAGACGAGGAAAGGGAACAAGGAGAACGAUUUCCUUCCCCUUCAGAG
rnacentral:lncRNA from 1 species